rnacentral:rRNA from 1 species
UAGGGAAUCUUCGGCAAUGGACGAAAGUCUGACCGAGCAACGCCGCGUGAGUGAAGAAGGUUUUCGGAUCGUAAAACUCUGUUGUUAGAGAAGAACAAGGACGUUAGUAACUGAACGUCCCCUGACGGUAUCUAACCAGGAAGCCACGGCUAACUAUGUGCCAGCAGCCGCGGUAAUACGUAGGUGGCAAGCGUUGUCCGGAUUUAUUGGGCGUAAAGCGAGCGCAGGCGGUUUCUUAAGUCUGAUGUGAAAGCCCCCGGCUCAACCGGGGAGGGUCAUUGGAAACUGGGAGACUUGAGUGCAGAAGAGGAGAGUGGAAUUCCAUGUGUAGAGGUGAAAUGCGUAGAUAUAUGGAGGAACACCAGUGGCGAAGGCGGCUCUCUGGUCUGUAACUGACGCUGAGGCUCGAAAGCGUGGGGAGCAAACAGG